GAUGAACGCUGACAGAAUGCUUAACACAUGCAAGUCGAUGGGGAAGUGGUGCUUGCACCAUGGUAACCAUGGCGGACGGGUGAGUAACGCGUAAGGAACUUACCUGCGGGACCGGGAUAACAGCAGGAAACUGCUGACAAGACCGGAUAAGGUCAUUAAGCUGCAUAGCUUAGUGAUGAAAGGAGACGCCUGCGGAGAGCCUUGCGUCCUAUUAGCUAGUUGGAGGGGUAACGGCCCACCAAGGCGAAGAUAGGUAGCCGGCCUGAGAGGGUGGACGGCCACAAGGGGACUGAGAUACGGCCCUUACUCCUACGGGAGGCAGCAGUGGGGAAUAUUGGACAAUGGGGGCAACCCUGAUCCAGCAAUUCUGUGUGCACGAAGACGGUUUUCGGAGUGUAAAGUGCUUUCAGCAGGGAAGAAGGAAGUGACGGUACCUGCAGAAGAAGCGACGGCUAAAUACGUG
rnacentral:rRNA from 1 species